AAGACCAGGAGAUGUAUCCAACAAACGUAAUCUCUGGGAGAAGCAGUCCAAUGAAAAGGCAACCUCUCCUUCUAAGGUAACAGCUAUGGGGAAAAAGUCAGAGACCAAUGGUUUGAGACAAUUUGAGAAAGAACCCUAGGAGGCUACUAAAGAUGCUGGAUCAACUCAUUUUGAAAGUGCUAAAUUGUCCUUUUUAUAUUUAUGUUUAUUUACCAAAAUGUCUUUUUUUUGCAUUAUCCCAAUUAAAACCAUGUAUAUUAGCACUGUAUUUAAUAAUCAGUCUAGAUAUUCAUCAUAAUAGUACUGCCUUUGCACAAGAGCCUUUAUUCCUAAAGAAACCCAUGCUGUGAAAUACUCUCCUACUGAUAGUCAUGACUAUGUGUCUGAACAGUGAUUUCAACUGGCAUAAGAGGUCAACCCCCAAAUGCAUGCAAAGUUGAAUUACUUAAGAAAAGUGUGCAGUAAACCCAUAAAAACAGUGGUUACUUUUGGAAUACAGAAGUCUUUUUCUGCACUUUAGACUAAGGCAUGGAAAAAAUCUUUAGUUGACAAUGUAAUAUUUUCUGUAAGUUGCCCAUGUCAUAAAUACUGCAUCAAUAACUUGUUUAAAAUUUAUUGUUUUAUACUUUUAAGUAUCAAUUUUUUUCAUUCUAGUUUAAGUUAAUACCUUUAAUUUGGAUGAUUGUUAGCUGACAGCGGUACUGAUACUCUAUUUUUGUUAGUGAUUAGUAAUUGAUUGCAAUAUAUACACAUAGCUUUACAAAGUUUAGCUUUAAGGCACUACUAAUGGUAGACUGCUUUAAUACAUGCUAGAGUAUUAUAUUUAGUAAUGAAGGCACAUACUUAGCCAGUAUCACAGCUUUUAAGUCACACACUUUUCUAUAGUAAGAUUUCAUAAUUUUGCCAUUAGAGGUAUGGCAAGAUGAGUAUUAAAUUUUUAAAAAAUGUAAGAUGCCCAGUAAUGGGUAAUUAAAAAGAAAACUAUAGUUUUAAAGAGGGGAAAAUAAGGGUAUAGAGGAUCAAAAGUAGGUCACUUGUAUAAAACAUCCUAGUUUAAUUUAUGUAAAACUACCAUCAUUUAAAAAUUUAACACAGUUGGAGCUGAAAUGACUGUACACUAAAUCUUGCCAUUCAUCAGUGCCGUAUAUUAAGACCACCUAACUAUUCAAAGUGAAGUAAGCCUCUAAUUAUGGUGUUUAACUAUUUCCCAAAGCUCUUAUUUACAAAUGUGGUGUUUGAUUUGUAUAUAGUAAACACAAACGCUAUAAGUCAGCUUGGUUUGAAUUUACAUGCCAUAAGGUUUAGCAUUUACAUCCUACAGUAUAUGGGUGGAAUAAACUAGUUAACUGAAGUAGCCCUAAAAUGCUUAAACAGCUUUCUGCAUUGGAACUACAGAGAACUCCUCCUUCAUCACUACUUUUAUUUGCAGCAUGUUUUUUUGUAGCAGCUGACUUUUUUUUUUUUUAUUAGAAGGGAGAUCAUCAUACUUCAA